rnacentral:rRNA from 1 species
UACGAAGGGGGCUAGCGUUGUUCGGAAUACUGGGCGUAAAGCGCACGUAGGCGGACUAUUAAGUCAGGGGUGAAAUCCCGGGGCUCAACCCCGGAACUGCCUUUGAUACUGGUAGUCUCGAGUCCGGAAGAGGUGAGUGGAAUUCCUGGUGUAGCGGUGAAAUGCGCAGAUAUCGGGAGGAACACCAGUGGCGAAGGCGACUUCCUGGCCUGUUCUUGACGCUGAGGCGCGAAAGCUAGGGGAGCAAACGGG